rnacentral:lncRNA from 1 species
UCAAUAGUUAAAAAAAAAAGGAAUAAAUGAAUUAGGAAAGUGAAGUUUAAACUCCAGAAGCUUGUUUUCUUCACUCUCUCAUUUUGCAAAUAUUCUCUUUCUAUUUGAAAGAUGAACCCUCGGCGAUGGAAAAGUGAAGAUGAGUGCUUGGAGGACCAAGAAGAAAUGUCCCUGGGAGAUGAUCAUCAAGUUUCACCUGUAAUUUCCUCUUCUUUCCCCCUUUUCUUCGUUUUUCAUAUUUAAAGACGUUUGAAGAGUUGAUUUUUUUAAACCUUUUUUGGUUUAUAUUUUCUGAAAACCACUUUUGCUUUAUAUGUUUGAAAUUUUUAUUUUUUUCUUACUCCUUUUGCUUUGAAUGUUUGAAGAUUUAAUUUUUUAAAACUCAUUUUGCUUUAAUUUCCUGUUUCAUGUAUGAUUUUCUUGAUAUUUACAUAUAAUACGUGUCAGGUAUGCUUAAUCUUAUAAUUUUGAAUGUCUUGAUGUUUGCAUGUCAGUUGAGAUUUAAAAUUGCACCAAACAACCCCUGAAUGUCUCAAUGAUGUGUUUAUCGGAGGGAACGCGAGAAAUUUUUUCCCUAUGAAAAAGGGGGAAAGUAUUUUUAUUGGAUAAGAACCAUGAAUUGAGAUCGAAUUCUCCUCCUUUAUUUCUUUAAUUGGUUGUGUCCCUUGCUUUUUGGAGUAUAGUAAGAGUUGUGAGAUGUGUCUAUUUAUAGACUAAUAAGAGAAGAAAAUAAGUACAAAAAGUUUUGUUCUUUGUACAUUGAUAUAUAGUUUGCUUCAAAAAAUAAGUUUUAUCUGAAGUGUUGAGGGUUAUGUCUUGAUUUGUAGGUUUAUGAGGAGGCAAAAUUUUUUUUAUAUCAAACUAUCAUCAAGGUGGUUGUUGCCUAUGGUGGUGCUCCUAUAAACCAACAGAUGUUAUAUUUCUUUUGUUUAUUUGGUACUUUCGUCUUAAUUUAUUAUAUAUAUAUUCUAGGAAUGUGAACAUAGGCGUCUAUUUAUUUUCUUUGAAAUAUUUGUACCCUUUUUAUAUCUUGUUUUCUUAUAAUGUACUUUAUGACAUAGAAUCCUGCACUGUUUGUUUAUUUUACAGAGAGGGGAUAUUGUGUCUAUAUCGCUUUGACUGAUGUCUAUUUAUUUUCUUUGAAAUAUUUGUACCCUUUUUAUGUUUUUACGGCCUUUACUCUACUACUAUUGUGAUGUGAGCGAAAAAAAUUGGUUCAUUGGUGCUCGAUCUAGUGGUAUUUUUAUGGUGAUGGAAAAGAGAGCUGACUUUAAUUUCCAUCGCAGUUGAUUAAUUCUGAUGCCUUGUAUUUCAUUACCUUGGUUGAUGAUUUCAUUCUCGUUGGUUAUGUCUAUUUGAUUUUUCUAUAAAACUAUACCAAUUUUGUAUCUUUCGUGAUUUUGAAAAUGGAACAUUGCUCUUCAACCCAUUUUCAUAUAUUUCUACCUUAUUAAUAAACGGUUGAAUCAGGUGUAGACUGUAAAGAUCAAUCAACUGUUUUUCUUCUUAUUUUACCAGUUGACUAAUGCUGGAUAUUAUUUCUAAUCUUGACUUAUAACUAAAACAAAGCAAAGUGGUAGCCAAGGCAUAUAUGGUAUUUCAUAGUUUGGCAAUAGUAGAAUUAGAGUCUUACUAUGUAAUGAUACUUUUGUCAUGACACACAUAUGAUAUUUGGUUUGGGAAGAAGAUAUCUAGAGAAGUGUUUUAGUAUGAUUCUAAACCCAACCUGUGAAUCUUUCGAGAAGAGACAAAUAAGAGAGCUUUUGAGGGGUCUAGAAAUGAUUUUGUACAUAUGAAGAAUAGUCUUUUUUAAGUUUUGGUGCACCCAAAAGUUCUUUGUGUAUAAAAGAUUGGAUGAUGUUCGUAGAGAAUCAUUCUUCACUUCUUGCCAUAUGCCUUGUAAAUGCGAGUAUGAUUCUGAAUUUCAUCUUCAAUAAGUAGGAUUUUUAAUAUUCAUAAACUUGGUAGAAGAAGGUGAUGUUUGGGACUUGGGAUCAUAUUUAAUGAACUAAAAGUUCUUCGCGACAUAUCAGUUAUCAGUUUCUAGAUUCAUGUUUUGUGUUAUUUUUUUCGUUCAAUGCUUCGAAAGUUUUUUAUGUUAACACUUUCAUUUUACCAAGAAAUGUGUUGAUAAAAAAAAUACGCGAACACAUACCCAUGUGUUAGCUUGAUCUUCAUGUGAGAACUGAAGAUAAUUCAACAAUACCUAAUGCAUCUAGGAUGAAUGAGUUGUUGGGCUUCUAAUCUACAAAUUGAAUCAACUUGUACUUGAUUAUGUUUCUUUUAGACAAUUUCGGUAACUUUCUUCUCAUUCUCAUUUCUUAUCUUUAGCAGAAGGCUGAAGAAGAGGCUCAUAAGAGCUGAAGUGAG